UAGUUACAUGCCAGUCUUGGGUCU
rnacentral:piRNA from 1 species